GAGAGAUAAUAGAGGUGGUGUUAGUGGUGGUGGAGGGUGUAUGGAGAGAUAAUAGAGGUGGUGUUAGUGGUGGUGCAGGGUGUAUGGAGAGAUAAUAGAGGUGGUGUUAGUGGUGGUGGAGGGUGUAUGGAGAGAUAAUAGAGGUGGUGUUAGUGGUGGUGGAGGGUGUAUGGAGAGAUAAUAGAGGUGGUGUUAGUGGUGGUGGAGGGUGUAUGGAGAGAUAAUAGAGGUGGUGUUAGUGGUGGAGGGUGUAUGGAGAGAUAAUAGAGGUGGUGUUAGUGGUGGUGGAGGGUGUAUGGAGAGAUAAUAGAGGUGGUGUUAGUGGUGGUGGAGGGUGUAUGGAGAGAUAAUAGAGGUGGUGUUAGUGGUGGUGGAGGGUGUAUGGAGAGAUAAUAGAGGUGGUGUUAGUGGUGG
ensembl:lncRNA